GUUGCAGGUAGUCCAGCAUGGCGGUGUGGCUAUUGUGUCCUUUUGUUCCUCUUGAUCUCGUUCACGAGGUUUUCCACUGUUGAAUGCAAGGAUUGAUCUCACAAGCUUCGCAUCGGCCUAGGCCCUACCUUGGGUCAGAGGUGGCGAGGCAUAACGCUAUAGGCAAAAGCUUUAGUGAAAUGCAUUGAGAUCAGAAAGAACACCAACGGCGAAAGCACUCUGCUGGGCCGACACUGACACUGAGAGACAAAAGCUAGGGGAGCAAUUGGGAUUAGAGACCCCAAUGGUCCUAGCCGUAAACGGUGGAUAUUCUUUGAUGGGGGUUGUUGUCAAUGAUGUUGGUGAUGGGGAACGAAGCAUGAAAAACAAAAAAUUUCC
rnacentral:ncRNA from 1 species